rnacentral:rRNA from 1 species
UCCGUAGGUGGAUAAUUAAGUCAGAGGUGAAAUCCUGCAGCUCAACUGUAGAAUUGCCUUUGAUACUGGUUAUCUUGAGUUAUUAUGAAGUAGUUAGAAUAUGUAGUGUAGCGGUGAAAUGCAUAGAUAUUACAUAGAAUACCAAUUGCGAAGGCAGAUUACUAAUAAUCAACUGACACUGCUGGACGAAAGCGUGGGGAGCGAACAGGAUUAGAUACCCUGGUAGUCC